GUGUUGUAUGAAAGGAGAGAAGGUUAGCACUCCUUGACAAGGGAUGGAAAGGCCUCGGGCUGACACUUACCUUACGAUUGACAUUUGCCACCUACUUCGUGGCAUCUAACCAUCGUUUUUG